UGCAGAUGAUGUGAAGAAUAUUUGCUAUCUGAAACAAGUGUUGACACUUCCACCAAGAUCACUGAUGCA